CUUGAUGGGCAUAUGCAUCUGUUCAUAUUUAAGACGUUUAAUGGGUUGGUUAAAGUAUCUUUGACUAUUGGUUAUUGUAAACCUUAAGUAGAUUAAUUGGAUGUACAAUGCGACGUUUGUUUUACCAAAAUAACACCAUAUAUAAAUUUUAUUUGCAAUUUCCUUUUAAAAAGUAAUUGAUGUUUAUAUUUACAAAAUUGAACCGAUUGUGCAUAUGAACAUGAGGUUCGUCCGUCCUAACGUCAGUAGGAUAUUGCUUGGUAUGCUAGAUUCUUACGAUAAUAACCUAGGUCGACAGUUUUAUCCAAUGAUAUUUUGAAAGGAAAAAAAACAACAUAAACACUUCACGUUUCAUUUACGUACCAAAUACUUACCUGUUACCUGUAUGACGCGUUAGCAAAUAUUUCUCUGCGUCGAUAUGUAGGUCGAUUAGUGUUACCUGUGCAACAGUGUUGUGAAAAAAAACCCAUUGUGAUUUAUGUACUUUUAUUUUUACUCCAUUUAUUUACCAUUAAGAUAUAAGAAGCCAGUGGUUUUAAGAAAUAUCGUUGUUUGCAUCGAGGAGAUUUAAGAUGAUUCAGACAAUGUUAUGGAACAGUUACCUUUUCAACCCCAUCCCCUGAACUCUACCCCUUGCCUUUGUAGUGGUGAAUAUCAUGGAAUCUACUAUUAAAGGGAAGGCUGGAUGGUCAUGAUCACUUUCUGACAUCAUUAUUCUCCCAAAACGAAGAGCGUCGGAAAAAUAAAAGGGAAAAAAACUUUAAACAAUAUCGCUAUACUUAUAGUAAAACUAUUUGAUUGUUUUCUUUAUAUACACCCGUGAAAUUAUUUAUUAGGAGUAUACAAAAUUAUGGCUUAGUAUUAUGUAAAAGUUAAUUGUAAUCUAUUAUUUGAAGAAAAUAAUACAAAUCAUACGCAUCAAUUACUCAAGGCAGAAAAAAAAUAUUAGAUCAUGACAUUCAUACUGCUAAAUCUUAUUCAAAUUAAAACGAUACCCUUUCUUUAUAAAAAUUGUUAAGUGUUGAAAAUUUUCGUCUAAGAUAAUUUUCAAGUGCUGCUAUUCUUACAUUAUAUUAUAUCAGAAAUAACUUGAAGUACCAAGUUAGAAUCUUUUGCAGUGUCUGUUAGAAAAAAAGGUUUCAUGAAUCAAUAGCAGUAUAAACAUUUGUAAUAUCUUAAAAAGUAACUUAUUAGCAAAGAAAAUUCUAACAAUGACUAUUUCAUUUUACACUCCACUGAAAGAAGAAUCAAACGGUAGGUGUAAAUCUAUGUGGCAAAAAUUGUCAGGCAGGAUUUUUUUCAAAUUUUGAAUAUAUAUUUUUUCAAAUCUUACAAAUUUAUUCCAUACAAAAAAAAAAAAAAUUUCCACUUAUCUGGGUUUUUUUUCUACCUUGAUUAGUAUUUUAUGACCGGUAUGAAAAAGGAAUCUUCUAUUCACAACAACUGAAGCCUUUGAUAAUUAACUGACAUGUUCCUCAAACCCCACAUAAUAAAAUAUUUUAGUAAGUUAACAUUUUGUAAGAAAAACAUCAAUACCUGUCUCAUUUUUGCCAGUCACUUUACCAUGCACUUAUUUUAUUCCAUGAAAGAUAAAGUACACAUUAAACGGGUGUGGUAGUCGCGCACCUUCUAUUUACCCACCGAGAAACACUCAAUAUUAAUCUUAGAUAUUUCAUUUUACACUAAGUAGUUAAUCAAUGGUCUAUAUGACGUAAGUGUGACCCUAAAUAGAAAGUUGAAAGAUCAAUUCUUUAUGUAAAUAUGACUCGAAACGUUUUUUAAUUAUAACAAUAAAUUAGAAAUAUCUAAGCUUAUAUAGCUAUCACAAAUUGAAUUGGAAAAUGUUCAGGUCAACUCCUGAUAUCUAACAAAGAUGGUUAUAAAAAUUUAAUUCAUUAAAACGAGAAAAGCAGGAAAAAUAUCAUGAACACGGAAAGAAAAUGAGAAGAAACUAGAUGAUUUAACGGUAUAUUUGUGCAACUACAUGUUUUACUUAUAAAAUUAGCAAACGACAAUUAAUCCUUUGUUUGAUUUUCUUGCAAAAUAUGACAUGUUGCACUUGAUGUUUAAAAAAUGAAUUAUCCGAACAAAUUUCAGAUUUAGGCAAUUAGGAUAAAAAUGAAAUCUUGCUAUUUUUUUCAAGUUCUCAUUCUAAAGUAACAAAAUUAAACCAACUACUUUGUUUAAAAAAAUCAUAUUCGUCCUAAUUUUAACUAUGAAUUAAAACCAUACACGUAUGUUACGUAUCAAAAAAAUUAGAAUGCACCUUGGUUUGAAAUAUGGCAAACGUGUUGAUUUAUAACCUUUUUUUAAUCGGACGUCAAAACUUUUAAUCUAUAUAUGUUAUUUGAUAAAUUAUCUAACUUAAAAUACCUUUACUUUCAAAUUUACCUGGUUGACGUAAUGACAGAUCAUGUUCAUUCAC